rnacentral:rRNA from 1 species
AUUGAACGCUGGCGGCAUGCUUUACACAUGCAAGUCGAACGGCAGCGCGGGCUUCGGCCUGGCCGCGCGUGGCGAACGGGUGAGUAAUAAAUCGGAACGUGCCCUGCAGUGGGGGAUAGCACGGCGACAGCCGGCUUAAUCCCGCACACGACCUGAUGGUGAAAGCGGGGGAUCUUCGGAGCUCGCGGUAUUUGCGCGGCCGAUGGCAGAUUAGCUAGUUGGUGAGGUAAAGGCGUACCAAGGCGACGAUCUGUAGCUGGUCUGAGAGGACGACCAGCCACACUGGAACUGAGACACGGCCCAGACUCCUACGGGAGGCAGCAGUAGGGAAUUUUCGACAAUGGGCGAAAGCCUGACGCAGCAACGCCGCGUGAGUGAUGAAGGUCUUCGGAUCGUAAAGCUCUGUUAGUGGGGAAGAACAGAAGUGUACGAAUCUAUGCAUGUCUUGACGGUACCUGAACAGAAAGCCACGGCUAACUACGUG